CCUACGGGAGGCUGCAGUGAGGAAUAUUGGUCAAUGGACGAGAGUCUGAACCAGCCAAGUAGCGUGAAGGAUGACUGCCCUAUGGGUUGUAAACUUCUUUUAUAUGGGAAUAAUAUGUUCCACGUGUGGGAUUUUGUAUGUACCAUAUGAAUAAGGAUCGGCUAACUCCGUGCCAGCAGCCGCGGUAAUACGGAGGAUCCGAGCGUUAUCCGGAUUUAUUGGGUUUAAAGGGAGCGUAGGUGGAUUGUUAAGUCAGUUGUGAAAGUUUGCGGCUCAACCGUAAAAUUGCAGUUGAAACUGGCAGUCUUGAGUACAGUAGAGGAGGGCGGAAUUCGUGGUGUAGCGGUGAAAUGUUUAGAUAUCACGAAGAACUCCGAUUGCGAAGGCAGUUCACUGGACUGCAACUGACACUGAGGCUCGAAAGUGUGGGUAUCAAACAGGAUUAGAUACCCGUGUAGUC
rnacentral:rRNA from 1 species